UCCAAUCCCCGAUUCGCUCCGCCCGAGAGAGAGAGAGAGAGACGGCGCGGCGACGAGCAAGCCCUAGGCGACGACGCGGCGGCGAACCCCAUCUCUUCGUCGCUGGAUUCGGGCUCUCCCCGGCGACCCGGUCCGGCCAUGUCCACCAAGAGGGUUCUUUGUAAGUUCUUCAUGCAUGGAGCUUGCUUGAAAGGAGACUACUGUGAGUUCUCCCAUGACUGGAGUGACCAAUCAAAUAAUGUUUGCACCUUUUACCAGAAAGGCUCAUGCUCCUAUGGUAGCCGUUGCAGAUAUGAUCAUGUCAAAGUUUCUCGUAAGAACCCAGUGCCUCCACUACCAUCAUCAAGUACUGCAGCACGUAAUUCCCUAGUGCCUCUGCCACCAUCAUCAAAUACCGCAACACGUGUUGCAUCUACUUCUCUACAACUCUUAAGUCCUGGACGUCCUCUUCACUUGGGACACCAAACAAAUUCAAGCAACCAAAGACAACAGGUAUCUACAGAUUUGCUGCCACUUUCUGGAAGUAAGCCUGCAUGGAAGAAUGAGGUCCAACUUGUAGAGGACGGGAUUGACUGGUCGUUCAAUCAAACUGAGCAAAACCAAACUUCCAUCAAACUUGUUGAUAUGCCAAUUUGUUCUUUUGCUGCUGCUGGUAACUGCCCAUAUGCGGAAGAGUGCCCUAACAUGCAUGGAGAUAUGUGCGCAGUCUGUGGGAAAAUGUGCUUGCAUCCCUAUCGUCCCGAUGAGAGGCAGGAGCAUAUCAAGCUAUGUGAAAAGAACCACAAGCGUCUUGAGGCUUUGAAACGUAGCCAAGAAAUAGAAUGCAGUGUCUGCUUGGACCGUGUGCUCUCAAAGCCUACUGCCGCUGAAAGGAAAUUUGGGCUGUUAUCUGAAUGUGAUCAUCCCUUCUGUAUUUCAUGCAUUAGAAAUUGGCGUGGCAACUCUCCUUCAUCUGGUAUGGAUGUGAACUCAGCACUGAGGGCUUGCCCAAUAUGUCGCAAACUAUCCUACUAUGUCAUUCCAAGUGUUCUUUGGUACUUUUCGAAGGAGGAAAAGCUGGAGAUAACUGAAAACUACAAAGCAAAGCUCAAGUCUAUAGAUUGCAAGUACUUUGAUUUUGGAACGGGUACUUGCCCCUUUGGGACUAGCUGUUUCUACAAGCAUGCUUACAGAGAUGGCCGCUUGGAAGAAGUUACACUGCGACAUCUUGAUUGUGAUGAUGGAAGUACACUUAUUGCUAAGAACAUUAGAUUGUCAGACUUCCUCAGUCGAUUGCAUCUAUAGGGACCAGCAGCUGUAUAUAUUAUCAAAUGCAUUCUGGGAUUUUGCUAUCUACCAAACAUGUGCAGUCUUCUGAAGGCAUUGGUUUAAACUGAGGCAUCUUCGAAAAGUGUUGCUUUAUUAACUCCAAUUUUCGUGGUUGAUUUGUCGUCAGUCAUACAAAGGAAUUAUGAAGCUCAUCGCGGGACACCUGGAUGGCCUUAUAUAAUAGAAGCAAUGUUGACCUGUGGAACAAUCUAAAAGAAGUAUUGCUGAAAAUCGGGAAAAAAAAAAAUCAAAAUUUGCACCUGUUGAACCAGAUUUUGCUGUAUGUGCUUUGUGUUGCUUCCUGGUUCGCCGCUGGUGAUUCGGUAGAACAACAAACAUUCCCUGGCCAUCGUGCGAAAGGAUGGGUGUAUAAUGUUGUCAUUUUACAAAUAUUGCUUUCCCUGUUGAGGAAGGCACCCAGACCAACAACUGGUUAACUGUGAGACUGUUUGGUUUGGUUAUAUAACUUGUACGGAGGAGGAAACCAGUAAGGGGAAAAGAAACAAGAUCACUCUUUGAUA